rnacentral:rRNA from 1 species
UUCCGGUUGAUCCCGCCAGACCCGACUGCUAUCGGAUUGAGACUAAGCCAUGCGAGUCAACCCGCAAGGGUGGCGGACGGCUCAGUAACACGUAGUGAACCUGCCCUGGGGACGUGGACAACCAUGGGAAACUGUGGCUAAACCGCGAUAGGUCAUUGUUUCUGGAAUGGGCAAUGGCUCAAACCUACAUGGCCCCAGGAUGGCACUGCGGCCGAUCAGGUUGUUGGUGAGGUAAUGGCCCACCAAGCCUGUAACCGGUACGGGCUCUGAGAGGAGGAGCCUGGAGAUGGGCACUGAGACAAGGGCCCAGGUCCUAUGGGACGCAGCAGGCGCGAAACCUUCGCAAUAGGCGAAAGCCUGACGAGGUUAUUCCGAGUGUUCCCUGCUAAAGGGAUCUUUUGCCAGCUCUAAAAAUGCUGGUGAAUAAGGGGUGGGCAAGCCUGGUGUCAGCCGCCGCGGUAAUACCAGCACCCCGAGUGGUCGGGAUGAUUAUUUGGCCUAAAGCAUCCGUAGCCGGCGCAUCAAGUCUUCCGUUAAAUCCACCUGCUCAACAGGUGGGCUGCGGGAGAUACUGCUGCGCUAGGAGGCGGGAGAGGCGAGGGGUAUUCCAUGGGUAGGGGUAAAAUCCUCUGAUCCAUGGAGGACCACCAGUGGCGAAGGCGUCUCGCCAGAACGCGCUCGACGGUGAGGGAUGAAAAGCUGGGGGAGCACAC